AGUGAGGAAUAUUGGACAAUGGGCGCAAGCCUGAUCCAGCCAUGCCGCGUGAGUGAUGAAGGCCUUCGGGUUGUAAAGCUCUUUUAGAUGUGAAGAUAAUGACGGUAACAUCAGAAAAAGCCCCGGCUAAAUUCGUGCCAGCAGCCGCGGUAAUACGAAUGGGGCAAGCGUUGUUCGGAAUCACUGGGCUUAAAGCGUACGCAGGCGGACUUACAAGUCAGGAGUGAAAUCCCCGGGCUCAACCCGGGAAUUGCUCUUGAAACUGUGAGUCUAGAAUCCCGGAGAGGUUGGCGGAAUUCCGAGUGUAGAGGUGAAAUUCGUAGAUAUUCGGAGGAACAUCAGUGGCGAAGGCGGCCAACUGGACGGGCAUUGACGCUCAGGUACGAAAGCGUGGGGAUCAAA
rnacentral:rRNA from 1 species